rnacentral:tRNA from 4 species
GCCAUCGUGGCUAAGGGGUAUAGCGGUGCCUUGGUAAGGCGCAGGUCGUGGGUUCGAUUCCCACCGAUGGCUCCA